UGUUAGGUGUUUGUGGGUUUUUUUUUUCUCAUUUUUUUCCAUGGGGAGAGUUAAAUAUUCUUGUCAUGUGAUAAGUAUAGCCAGAAAACAGUUUCUAGAAACUGUUAGUACCAAAAUGGUUGUUUUUAAUUCCAAAGAUACAAAAAUAGUUAAGAAUAGAUCUUUUCUUUCCCUUAUGGAGCUUUUGGUUUUCUGGCCAUGUGAGAGCUUGGAGUUGGAAGAGUGAGGUUGGCUGGAUUUGAGCUGGACCUUGAAGAUUAGAGUAGGUAAAUGGGAAGGGGGGGCAGUGCAUAUACUGAACAGGAACCCAAAGAAACAGAUUGCUUGAGAAUUUUUUAUGUUAAUAUUUUAUCAUUGAUUUGAGCCGUUUUCUGUUUUAUGCAAAAAAGCAAGGGGUUUAAGGACCCCAGUUAUUCUCAACCCAUUUGGGGAUUAUUUAAUGAGCAAAACGGUGUUUCAAGUUUAUUUGAUGGGUGGGCAAGUUUUGUAUCACUUAAGAAUGCCUGCCAUUUUCUUUUACGUGGGUGUAUCUGUAAAAUUUUGAGAAUAUUUAGUUUCCCAAGUGAAACUUCAGCAAGAGAAGAGCUGCUGAACCAUUUAAAAAGUUAGCUUUACCCUCUCCUUGAUACAUGUCCUCAGUAAAGGAAAUGACUUAUUAUAGCUCAUAGUGUUUUGGUAGACUGUUUUUUUUCUUUUCCCCAGCACCCCUCUUUUUUUAUUAUUAUGUUAAUCGCCAUACAUAACAUCAGUUUUUGAUGUAGUGUUCGAUGAUUCAUUGUUUGUGUAUAACACCCAGUGCUCCAUUCAAUACGUACCCUCUUUAAUACCCAUCACCAGGCUAACCCAUCCCCCCCUCCCCCUCCCCUCUAGAACACUGAGUUUGUUUCUCAGUCUACAGUCCGUAGUCUGUCAUGGUUCGUCUCCCCCUCUGAUUUCCCCCCUGAUCCCUUCCUACUAUCUUUUUUUUUUUUUUUAACAUACAAUGUAUUAUUUGUUUCAGAGGUACAGGUCUGUGAUUCAGCAGUCUUAUACAAUUCACAGCGUUCACCAUAGCACAUACCCUCCCCAAUGUCUAUCACCCAGCCACCCCAUCCCUCCCACCCCUCCAUUCCAGCAACCCUCAGUUUGUUUCCUGAGAUUAAGAAUUCCUCAUAUCAGUGAGAUCAUAUAAUACAUAUCUUUCUCUGAUUGACUUAUUUCGCUCAGCAUAACACCCUCCAGUUCCAUCCAUGUCGUUGCAAAUGGCAAGAUCUCAUUCCUUUUGAUGGCUGCAUAAUAUUCCAUUGUGUGUGUGUGUGUAUAUAUAUAUAUAUAUAUAUAUAUAUACACACACACACCACCUCUUCUUUAUCCAUUCGUCUGUCGAUGGAGAUCUUGGCUCUUUCCACAGUUUGGCUAUUGUGGACAUUGCUGCUAUAAACAUCGGGGUGCAUGUACCCCUUCAGAUCCCUACAUUUGUAUCUUUGGGGUAAAUACCCAGUAGUGCAAUUGCUGGAUUGUAUGGUCGCUCUAUUUUCAACUUUUUGAGGAACCUCCAUACUGUUUUCCAGAGUGGCUGCACCAGCUCGCAUUCCCACCAACAGUGUAGGAGGGUUCCCCUUUCUCCACAUCCCCGCCGAUAUCUGUCAUUUCCUGACUUGUUAAUUUUAGCCAUUCUGACUGGUGUGAGGUGGUAUCUCAUUGAGGUUUUGAUUUGGAUUUCCCUGAUGCCGAGCGAUGUUGAGCAUUUUUUCAUGUGUCUGUUGGCCAUUUGGAUGCUUCUUUGGAAAAAUGUCUGUUCAUGUCCUCUACCCAUUUCUUGAUUGGAUUCUUUGUUCUUUGGGUGUUGAGUUUGAUAAGUGCUUUGUAGAUUUUGGAUACUAGCCCUUUAUCUGAUAAGUCAUUUGCAAAUAUCUCCUCCCAUUCUGGCGGUUGUCUUUUGGUUUUAUUGACUGUCCUUUGCUGUGCAAAAGAUUUUUAUCUUGGUGAAGUCCCUUUUUGCCCUUGCUUCCCUUGCCUUUGGCGAUGUUUCUAGGAAGAAGUUGCUGCGGCUGAGGUCGAUGAGGUUGCUGCCUGUGUUCUCCUUUAGGAUUUUGAUGGACUCCUGUCUCACAUUGAGGUCUUUCAACCAUUUGGAGUCUAUUUUUGUGUGUGGUGUAAGGAAAUGGUCCAGUUUCAUUCUUCUGCAUGUGGCUGUCCAAUUUUCCCGACACCAUUUGUUGAAGAGACUGUCUUUUUUCCAUUGGACAUUCUUUCCUGCUCUGUCGAAGAUGAGUUGACCAUAGAGUUGAGGGUCCAUUUCUGGGCUCUCUAUUCUGUUCCAUUGAUCUUUGUGUCUGUUUUUGUGCCAGUACCAUGCUGUCUUGAUGAUGACACCUUUGUAAUAGAGCUGGAAGUCCGGAAUUGUGAUGCCACCAGCUUUGCUUUUCUUUUUCAACAUUCCUCUGGCUAUUCGGGGUCUUUUCUGGUCCCAUACAGAUUUUAGGAUUAUUUGUUCCAUUUCUUUGAAAAAAGUGGAUGGUAUUUUGAUGGGGAUUGCAUUGAAUGUGUAGAUUGCUCUAGGUAGCAUUGACAUCUUCACAGUAUUUGUUCUUCCAAUCCAUGAGCAUGGCACGUUUUUCCGUUUCUUUGUGUCUUCCUCAAUUUCUUUCAUGAGUAUUUUAUAGUUUUCUGAGUACGGAUUCUUUGCCUCUUUGGUUAGAUUUAUUCCUAGGUAUAUUAUGGUUUUGGGUGCAGUUGUAAAUGGGAUCGACUCCUUAAUUUCUCUUUCUUCUGUCUUGUUGUUGGUGUAUAGGAAUGCCACUGACUUCUGUGCAUUGAUUUUAUAUCCUGCCACUUGACUGAAUUCCUGUAUGAGUUCUAGCAGUUUUGGGGUGGAGUCUUUUGGGUUUUCCACAUAAAGUAUCCUGUCAUCUGCAAAGAGUGAGUUUGACGACUUCUUUGCUGAUUUGGAUGCCUUUUAUUUCUUUUUGUUGUCUGAUUGUUGUGGCUAGGGCUUCUAAUACUAUGUUGAAUAGCAGUGGUUAUAGUAGACAUCCCUGCCGUAUUCCUGACCUUAGGGGGAAAGCUCUCAGUUUUUCCCCACUGAGAAUGAUAUUUGCUGUGGGUUUUUCAUAGAUGGCUUUUAUGAUAUUGAGGUAUCUACCCUCUAUCCCUACACUCUGAAGAGUUUUGAUCAAGAAAGGAUGCUGUACUUUGUCAAAUGCUUUUUCUGCAUCUAUUGAGAGGAUCAUAUGGUUCUUGUUCUUUCUUUUAUUAAUGUAUCACAUUGAUUGAUUUGCGGAUGUUGAACCAACCUUGCAGCCCAGGGAUAAAUCCCACUUGGUCGUGGUGAAUAAUCCUUUUAAUGUACUGUUGAAUCCUAUUGGCUAGUAUUUUGGUGAGAAUUUUUGCAUCCAUGUUCAUCAGGGAUAUUGGUCUGUAAUACUCCUUUUUGAUGGGGUCUUUGUCUGGUUUUGGGAUCAAGGUAAUGGUGGCCUCAUAAAACAAGUUUGGAAGUUUUCCUUCCAUUUCUGUUUUUUGGAACAGUUUCAGAAGAAUAGGUAUUAAUUCUUUAAAAGUUUGGCAGACUCUGUUUUAACUUUGUUUUGAUGUCUCCUUCAGUUGUCAGAACUUGCUCUGUAAACUGGGUCAUCUCCCUUGUCUUAUUUAGGGACGUGAUUAAUUGGCUUGACUUUUUGGGCCAAGGUGAUUCUUUCUUGUGGAUUAUAGAAUGUUCGUGCAUUAUAGAAUGUUUGCCCACUAGAGGAGAGUAGCACCCUCCCCCAUCCCCCCAAACCUCCAGUUGUGAAUACCAAAAAUGUUUUCAAACAUUGCCAAAUGUCCUUGGGGGUGGGGGCGGGAGGAUCACCUCUAGUUGGUAACUACUGGAUUAGAAGGAAUAAAGAUGUAAUAAACUCUGAUUUUAUAUAUGUGUGUAUUUGUUUUUAGGUAUUUAAAAUCCAUGAUUAUUUUAAUGUCAGAUUUUAUAAAGAUCUCUAUAAAGCUAAGUAUGAAAUGCUUCAUAAUUUACAAAAGGGUAUUACAGGUCUAGCAGGUAUUUCAUAAUAUAUUUUUGGAGCAAGGGAAGAUGAGUAAUCUCAGCCCUAAGGUUUUUAUGGAAUAGAUUUUAAGGACAUCAAGAGGGAAACAUGUUUGUUUAUAUGUGAAUCUAUAAUAAUAGCAAUUUUGCAGUAAUAAUCAUUCUCAUUCAACAGAUUCUGGGUUAUUACUACAUGUAUUCACUAUGCUUCCUAAAACCUUUUUAGAGGCAGAUUUAAAGCAUAAAAAGUUGUCAUAGAAUAUAAACAUCUAAUUUUUCCAUAGAGGCAAUGUGAUUAUGAGCAUGGGCUUUGGCAUCUAUCUGGGUACAAAUCCCAGCUGUACCUUAGAUUAUGACUUUGGGCAGAUUACUUAUAAACUCCAUACCUUAGCUUCUCAUCUGUAAUAUGGGGUUGAUAACAGUACCAGCCUCAAAGGGUUUUCAGUGACUUUAUUUAAAGCACUUAGAGCCGUGCUUUGCACAAGUACUAUGUAAGUAUUAGCUGCUGCUAUUCCUAUUAGUGUUAAGAUAACCUUUUAUCAUAUGUAAUAUUCCUAAAUCCAGUCUUCCUGUCAUUACUAAGAUGCAGGUUAAAAGGUGAGGGUAUUUUAUACUCAUUUUCUUACUUGCUUUCCAGAUUAUUGUCCUCUUCUAAGUAGAAUUACUUGAAGCUUGUGAAUGUAGAUGACCUCUGAUUUAUAACCAUAUUGGUUCCUGGACAAUGAUCACAAGUGGAACUGUCCCACUUAUAAAUCAAAGCCUUUCUGCAGGACCAUAAAAAAGGAUCAUUUGCUAGAAACCCAGGUCAAAUGGUGAAAAUCCACGUAAGAAAAAAAGAAAACACAAAUAGGCUUUUACAGACAUUAUAUGAAGUCACACAACAUAAACGCUCUAUCAUAACACUCUGUUCUCUGCUCUGGUUUUUCUACCUGGGCUGGUACUGACAAACUUCGUAAAAUACGGUCCAGUAAGAUCUGGACUGAGGAAUACUUCUUUUUUCUUUUCCUCAUAAGUCUAUUUUUCAUGGCUCUAAAGGCUAUCUCAAAUUUAGGACUAUUCUUAAAAUCUUUAUUUCUGAUUCUGUUCCUACGAAAGGUAAGUAGUAGCAGUAGGAACAGAAUUCCUAUGGUAACUGUGUUUCCCCCCCCCCCUUUUUUAAAGAUUUUAUUUAUUUAUUUGACAGAGAAAGACCGCAAGAGAGGGAACACAAGCAGGGGGAGUGGGAGAGGGAGAAGCAGGCUUCCCGCGGAGCAGGGAGCCCAACGUGGGGCUUGAUCCCAGGAUCUUGGGAUCAUGACCUGAGCUGAAUGCAGCUGCCUAGCCAACUGAGCCACCCAGGUGCCCCAUGGACCUCUUUUUCUAAGAGGCCAUAAAGAAGAGUUAAAGGUUGAUUGGAAAAGUUGUGGAUUGCCUGUAGAUAGAAUUUUUUUGUAGAUUCUUUUCAUAGAAAAUUACUAAGUUAAUAUUAUUCUGUUUAUUUCCUGAGACAGACAGACUUUAUAAAUAAAAGAUUUGUCCCCCCUUAAUAUUUUCUUGUUUUAUUUUAGAUUCUUGGAGUAAGUAACUAUGAAGUUGGGUAGAUUAAUGUUAUCUUUGGUUUCCUCUGUAAAUGGAGGGCUUUGGACUAAAUAAUACCAUAUUGCUAAAGUCAGGACUCUCAAGCAGAAAUCCAGUUCAAGUUAUAGUUGUCCAUUGACCAGUUACAUGAGGUUGAGUGUUACUCAUUCACCUGCUCAUUUUCAUACUUAGCUGUGUGGAAGACUAGGAUAUUUAUAAGUAAAUUUAUUAUCUCUUAAAUGUAAUAUUGAAGUCACUGAAAACCACAUAGUUUAAAAUAAUUGUCAGGGUUUUUUAGUCUUUUGUAAGAAUACGUGUCAUAUUUAAGCCUGUUAGCCUAUAAUUGCUAAGACACUUUGUUGGAGGUUCUCUGUACCUGGAGCUGUUUCUGUGAUAGGCUGUGAGUGGUUCACGGCGGUUUUAAAUCUUCCUUUUCUUUAGAAGUAACUCCAAUAAGAAGUUGCUCUUUCCAAGAGUGACUUUAUAAAAGAGCUGUUUUAAACUUAUCAUCUUGGCUCUUGGACAUUUGCUUAGGGCAGUAGGAGGAGAGCAGUUUAGACUUAGGACGAAAUUUCUUAAAAAUGGGGGAAUAGGAAAAUGACAGGUUUAGUUAUUUUCUAUAAACUUAUUCUGAAAAUCAUCUGGUUCCUAUAUUGGAUUGGCAUCUUUAGGAGAAGAUUGCUAAAAUGAACCAGUGAGAUUAAACCAUGCUUAGGUAUGUAUGUCAUUUACCACUGGUGUUAGACCUUAGGCAUAGAGAAGUACUGGAGAGUACAGAAAGAAGUGCUUCCCACACUGGAGAACACAGUUCUGAUAAUCUCUUAGACCCUUAAAGGCAUACUUAGUUUUUUAAAAUUUAUACUUCUUCUGUUUUUCUUAGUGUUUUUAUAACAUUCUUAUAGCUAGAAAAGUAUACAACAAACUGAAUUAUUAUUUGGUAUUUAAAAUUUAUCUGAAUGUUCCCAUAUGUAUCAGGAAUGUCUUCAACUGUAAAUAUGUAAAAACCUUACUAGUAAUGUCUAAAAUGGAAGUUCUUUUUUCUUUCAUGACAAGAAAUCCACAGACAGGCAAUUUGGGGCCAGUACAUCAGCUUGAGAAAAAGGUAUCAGGAACUUGAAUAACCCCUUUCUUCCUGAGCCACCAUCUGCAUAUGUGGCACUUAACCUCAUGAUCACAAGAUGGUGGUUGUACCUUUAGGCAUUAAAUCUCUGCUCCAGAUUGAGAAGAGCAAAGGGCUUUCUUCUAGUAAUGUUUUCGCUCUUUUUUUCCCCAGAAGAGAUGCCUCUUGCCAGAGAUCUCCGUUACAACCUUUCUGCUGUGAGGACAGGAUUCUGGCUCUGUGACAGGCGUCUUUUUUGGAGACCCUCCUUCAAGAGCCCUGCUGCCUAUAAAAGAUAGAUAUGGCCACAGUUCAUCGAAUCU